CACGUAGGGUGCGAGCGUUGUCCGGAAUUAUUGGGCGUAAAGAGCUCGUAGGCGGUUUGUCGCGUCUGCCGUGAAAGUCCGGGGCUCAACUCCGGAUCUGCGGUGGGUACGGGCAGACUAGAGUGAUGUAGGGGAGACUGGAAUUCCUGGUGUAGCGGUGAAAUGCGCAGAUAUCAGGAGGAACACCGAUGGCGAAGGCAGGUCUCUGGGCCGAUACUGACGCUGAGGAGCGAAAGCGUGGGGAGCGAACAGG
rnacentral:rRNA from 1 species